CUACGGGCCGCUGCAGUGGGGAAUAUUGCACAAUGGGCGCAAGCCUGAUGCAGCAACGCCGCGUGAGGGAUGAAGGCCUUCGGGUUGUAAACCUCUUUUAGCAGGGAAGAAGCGAAAGUGACGGUACCUGCAGAAAAAGCACCGGCUAACUACGUGCCAGCAGCCGCGGUAAUACGUAGGGUGCAAGCGUUGUCCGGAAUUAUUGGGCGUAAAGAGCUCGUAGGCGGUUUGUCACGUCUGCUGUGAAAAUCCAAGGCUCAACCUUGGACUUGCAGUGGGUACGGGCAGGCUAGAGUGCGGUAGGGGAGAGGGGAAUUCCUGGUGUAGCGGUGGAAUGCGCAGAUAUCAGGAGGAACACCAAUGGCGAAGGCACAUCUCUGGGCCGUAACUGACGCUGAGGAGCGAAAGCGUGGGGAGCGAACAGGAUUAGAUACCCGAGUAGUC
rnacentral:rRNA from 1 species